rnacentral:misc_RNA from 1 species
AACGCACCUUGCGCUCUCCUGGACUUUCAUCCGGAGAGCAUGCCUGUCUGAGGGCCGCGAAACUCUUCGAGCGACAGCUUUUGUUUUUAAUGACAUGAAGCUGGCGGAUCGGUUCUGAGGGCUUUGCCAUUUGCACUGGCUCCCUCUAAAUGAAUUAGCUGGACUUGUAUUACAUUGGAAGGUGGGAGCGAUGUUGUCUCCUCUCCCUUUGGAUCUUGAUAAUUAUCGAGGAACAAAGGUGAUGAGUGACUGCUUCCGUAUACAUGCCGACCACACAAGCUGGCUUCGAAAACCGCCCAUACUGUGUUUUCUAUGCAGAAGGGAUUUUUCAAUUUCAACGGCCUCAGAUCAGGUAGGACUACCCGCUGAACUUAA